GAUGAAGAACGUAGCGAAAUGCGAUACGUAGUGUGAAUUGCAGAAUUCAGUGAAUCAUCGAAUCUUUGAACGCACAUUGCACCUCUCGGUAUUCCGGGAGGUAUGCCUGUUCGAGCGUCAUUUGUACCCUCAAGCUCUGCUUGGUGUUGGGUGUAUGUUCCGCCUCUGUGUGUGAACUCGCCUCAAAACAAUUGGCAGCCGGCGUACUUGUUUCGGAGCGCAGCACAUUUUGCGAUCCAGAUCAACGUACAGCGGCAUCCAAGAAGCCUUAUUUAACGCUCUUGACCUCGGAUCAGGUAGGGAUACCCGCUGAACUUAAGCAUAUCAAUAAGCGGAGGA
rnacentral:misc_RNA from 1 species